rnacentral:rRNA from 1 species
UACGAAGGGGGCUAGCGUUGCUCGGAAUCACUGGGCGUAAAGCGCACGUAGGCGGAUUGCUAAGUCAGGGGUGAAAUCCUGGAGCUCAACUCCAGAACCGCCUUUGAUACUGGCGAUCUUGAGUCCGGGAGAGGUGAGUGGAACUGCGAGUGUAGAGGUGAAAUUCGUAGAUAUUCGCAAGAACACCAGUGGCGAAGGCGGCUCACUGGCCCGGUACUGACGCUGAGGUGCGAAAGCGUGGGGAGCAAACAGG